ensembl:snRNA U6 U6 spliceosomal RNA
GUGCUCACUUCAGCAGCACACAUACUAAAAUUAGAAUGAUGUAGAGAAGAUAAACAUGGCCCCUACACAAGGAUGAUGUGCAAAUCCAUGAAGUGUUUCAUAUUUGU